CGACCAGAUUCUGGGGUGGGCCUCGUGGACCUUCAUUUCCCAGAUCCCGGGCGGCCGGUGGCGAGAGCCGCGGCUGUUGGGAGACCAAGAGCCGAGCAUAAGCCCCACCGGCGAGAGGCAGGUGGUGUGUGGAUCUCGGCGGGAGAGAGGCACGGGCCGCCGGACCCUGUUGCCAAGGAUUCUUGAGAACCUGAGCGCUUGAAGUGUGCCCCUCCUUUUCCGGGGGAGUCAAUCGAGAGUAGCAUUCGUUAACCUUAAUUGAAACUGGUAUCCGUGGUUGGGUGAAUCUGUAGAUGUGGAACCUGCAUAUAUGGAGAGCCAACCGUAGUUUGUCCUUAAGGAGUGAAAGAGAAACAAUGCAGAAAUCAGAGUGCUCUGGAGGUACACACUUGAAAAACAGAGUAACAGGUAACGAUGAUCAAAGGACAUCAUCAGGCACACAAAUAAAAUACAGGAAUGCAGUUCAACGAAGCAAAUCCUCAUUGUCAACCAGUUCUCCGGAGUCUGCAAGAAAACUUCAUCCUCGACCAAGUGAUAAACUGAACCCUAAAACAAUUAACCCGUUUGGUGAACAGUCUCGACCCCCUUCGGCAUUUGCAGCUAUUUACUCUAAAGGAGGUAUUCCUUGCAGAUUGGUACAUGGUUCAGUGAAACACAGAUUACAGUGGGAGUGUCCUCUUGAAAGUCUUUCGUUUGAUCCACUUCUUAUUACUUUAGCUGAGGGUCUGAGGGAGACGAAGCAUCCAUAUACCUUUGUGUCAAAGGAGGGUUUUAGAGAAUUACUUUUGGUCAAAGGUGCUCCUGAAAAAGCUGUUCCUUUGCUACCUAGACUGAUUCCUGUGCUAAAGGCAGCUCUGGUCCAUUCGGAUGAUGAAGUGUUUGAAAGAGGAUUGAAUGCUCUAGUUCAGCUAAGUGUUGUGGUUGGUCCUUCUCUAAAUGACCAUCUGAAGCAUCUGCUUACAAGCCUUUCCAAAAGGUUAAUGGACAAGAAAUUCAAAGAGCCAAUCACCAGCGCAUUACAGAAGCUAGAGCAACGUGGCGGAAGUGGAAGCCUUAGCAUCAUCAAAUCUAAGAUUCCAACAUACUGCUCCAUAUGCUGUUGAAGAAGGGAGCCAACAAACAUUGUUUUUUCUUCCUGUUGACAUAUCAAACACUGACCCCAGUUCUUCAGAGGCUGUGACUGGAGCAAUUACCAAGGAUCACAGAAGCUGCCUAAAAGGAAGCUUCUAGGAUUUCAAGGCUUCCGGGCUCUCAGGUGGGACAGUAAAGGCUCCUUCUCCUCCCCAUGCCAGGCAAGAUGACCCAAAAGGAAACUCCGCGGCCAGCUGACUCUAAGCAAGCUGGGGCAAGGCACUUCCAAGUGCUCUGUGAAGCUCAGACGGCGCUCAGGGGUGGCUACAAAGAAAUCAAUGCAGUCUUGCAGUUUCUCUGGAUGAUAUUUCAGUGCUUUGGAAGAUAACCACCAGAUAAGUGGAGAAUUUCUAUUUUUCUUAGUUAUUGUUUUACUGUCUAACCCCAACCACAAGAAAGAACAUAUUGGUUUAUUUUAAAAACUUUAUCUUCACAAUGGGAAGGACAUGAGCUAUAGAGCAUUAUUUUAAAGACUAGUAGAAAGAUGAAAUGGUGCAAAAAAAAAAAAAAAAACAAAUGUGCAAAACAUUAGAAUUUUCAAGAAAAUUAAACUUCACAGUUAUUUUUACCCAUUUGAAGCAAAUCUAUUCACCAUAUCUCUAUUAAAUCCCUAUGUAAGCCAGGUACAAAUAAAUGAGAUGAAAAAUUUGAACUGACUUCCAGUUGCAAAGUAACAAUUAUAUUAUAUGAUGAAUUUCUUUCAGAGUCAAAUGUUGGUAUAUUAGUCCAUUUUCCCACUGCUGAUAAAGACAUACCCAAGACUGGGAAGAAAAAGAGGUUUAAUUGGACUUGCAGUUCCACAUGGCUGGGGAAGACUUAGAAACGUGACAGGAGGCAAAAGGCACUUUUUACAUAGUGGCAGCGAGAGAAAAUGAAGAGGAUGCAAGAGUGGAAACCUCUGAUAAAACCAUCAGAUCUCAUGAGACUUAUUCACUACCACAAGAACAGUGUGGGGAAAACUGCCCCAUGAUUCAAACUAUCUCCCAUUGGGUUCCUUCUACAAUGUGGGAAUUAUGGGAGUAUAAUUUAAGAUGGGAUUUUUGUGGGGACAAAGAGCCAACCCAUAUCAUUACAUCCCUGGCCCCUCCAAAUCUCAUGUCCUCACAGUUCAAAGCCAAUCAUGCCUUCCCAACAGUCCCCCAAAGUCUAAAUUCAUUUCAGCAUUAAUCUAAAAGUCCACAGUCCAAAGUCUCAUCUGAGGAAAGGCAAGUCCGUUCUGCCUAUGAGUCUGUAAAAUCCAAAGCAAGCUAGUUACUUCCUAGAUACAAUGGGGAUACAGGUACUGGGUAAAUACAGCCAUUCCAAAUGGGAGAAAUUGGCCAAAACAAAGGAGUCACAGGGCCCAUGCAAGUCCAAAAUCCAGCAGGGCAGUCAAAAUGUAAAGCUCUAAAAUGAUGUUAUUUUAUUCCGGGUGUCAUAUCCAGGUCAUGCUUGUGUAAGAUGUGGGUUUCCAUGGUCUUGGGCAGCUCUGCCCCUGUGGUUUUGCAGGAUACAGCCUCCCAGCUGCUUUCACAGGCUGGCAUUGAGCAUCUGCAGCUUUUCCAGGCACACGGUGCAAGCUGUAUGUAGAUCUACCAUUCUGGGGUCUGGAGGAUGGUGGCCCACUUCUCACAGCUCCACUAGGUGGUGCCCUAGUAGGGACCCUGUGUGUGGGCUCCAACCCCACAUUUGCCUUCUGCACUGCCCUAGUAGAGGUUCUCCAUGAGAGCCCUGCCCCUGCAGCAAACUUCUGCCUAGGCAUCCAGGCAUUUCCAUACAUCUCCUGAAAUCUAGGCAGAGGUUCCCAAACCACAAUUCGUGACCUCUGCAGGCUCAACACCACAUGGAAGCUGCCAGGGUGUGGGGCUUGCACACUCUGAAGCUGUAGCCCAAGCUCUACAUUGGCCCAUUUCAAUCACAGCUGGAGUGGCUGGGACGCAGGGCACCAAGUCCCUAGACGGCACACAGCAUGGGGACCCUACAUCCUGCCCAUGAAACCAUUUUUUCUCCUAGACCUCUGAGUCUGUGAUGGGAAAGGCUGCUGCAUGCCCUGGAGACAUUUUCCCCACUGUCUUGGGGAUUAACAUUCAGCUCCUCAUUACUUAUGUAAAUUUCUGCAGCCAACUUAAAUUUCUCCUCAGAAAAUGAGAUUUUCUUUUCUGUGGCAUUGUCAGGCUGCAAAUUUUCCAAAUAUACUCUGCUUCCCUUUUAAAAUGGAAUGCUUUUAACAGUACCAAAGUCACUUCUUGAAUGCUUUGCUUCUUAAAAAUUUCUUUUGCCAGAUACCCCAAUUAUCUCUCUCAAAUUCAAAAUUCCACAAAUCUCUAGGGCAGGGGAAAAAUGCCACCAGUCUCUUUUUUAAAACCUAACAAGAGUUACCAUUUCUCCAUUUCCCAACGAUUUUCUCAUCUCUGUCUGAGACCACCUCAGACUGGACCUAUUGUCCAUAUCGCUAUCAGGGCAAAGCCAUUCAACAAGUGUCUAGGGAGCUCUAAACUUUCCCACAUUUUCCUGAAAUCUAGACAGAGGUUCCCAAACCACAAUUCUUGACUUCUGUGCAGGCUCAACACCACAUGGAAGCUGUCAGAGGGCUUGCACCCUCUGAAGCCAUAGCUUUGAACUGUUCCAACUUCUGCCUGUUACCCAGUUCCAAAGUCACUUCCACAUUUUUGGGUAUCUUUUUAGCAACACCCCACUUCUGGUGCCAAUUUACUGUAUUAAUUUUCACACUACUGAUAAAAAACAUACCCAAGACUGGAAAGAAAAAGAAGUUUAAUUGGACUUACAGUUCCACAUGGCUGGGGAGGCCUCAGAAUCUUGGCAGGAGGUGAAAGGCACUUCUUACAUGGCAGCGACAAGAGGAAAUGAGGAAGAUGCAAAAGCAGAAACCCCUGAUAAAACCGUCAGAUAUUGAGAGACCUAUUCACUGCCAUGAGAACAAUAUGGGAGGAACCACCCCAUGAUUUAAAUCAUCCCCCAUGGGUCUCUCCUAUAACAUGUCAGAAUUCUGGGAGUAUAAUUCAAGAUUAGAUUUGGGUGGGGACACAGAGCCAAACCAUAUCGGUUGGCAACACACUGAACUAGGGCUCUACCAUUAAUUAAGUAUACAGAAAUACAAAGUUUGAAUAAGGAUAAACAUAAGGAAUAACAUAAAAAUGAUUCUGCUUAAUAGAAAUUCAGAUACUUCUUAAUUUUUUACAUCGUCUGCUAAUUAAGAGGGAGUGUUAAAUUGGGAAACCACAAAGGUUCCACUUCAUCAGCACUGUUUUUUGGUUUGGUUGGUUGUUUCAAGCCCUUUCAUAUGUCUGGCACUGGGCUAGGCUCUGAGGAUACGAUGGAAAAACAGAAGGCCUAACCCUUUGAUGCCUGUCAGAGGAUUCUCUGGGACAUUACAGGGUUUAUCCGGUCCACUCUUGACGUUUAUUAGGUGAUACAAUUCACACUCAAACACAAGUGUCCUAAAACAAUAUAAAUCUGCCUCUCCUAAAUGAGCUCAUUAUUUUUGUUUUAGCCGCACCAAAAUAGAGUUCCUAAUUCCUAUCCAGCUUGCAUCAGUUUUACUUGUUAAUUAAUCCCAGAACAUCAGUUUACUUGAAUUGAAAAGGCUCAUCACAUUCAAGUGCCUCAUUUUUUAAUAUAAGGCAAACUGAGGCAAAGGAUGUUAAACGAUCUUCACAGAGCAAGAGAGGCCACUUUUCACCCUCAGCCCAGUGUUUGACUAAACCACACUGCGAAAGAUAACAAUCAAUGAGGAAAAAAAUUAGAGGGUUUAAAAUCCUCUUUCCUUCUUCCUCAGACAACUGAGAAAUAAUAUUCUUUAUGGUUGUGGUUACUGGACUAUGAGAGUAGCCAAAUUCAAUAUGUCUUAUUUAUUCUUAAAGAUUGGGACUCUCAUUCUGGAAGUACUUUUAACUAUUAAAGAAAGAUUCCUCUUUCCCUUUCCUUCUUCCUUCCUUGUCUUCCUCAUUUUUUCUACACUAUCUCCUCUUUUCUUGUAAUAUUUGAUCAUUUAUUCCACACAAAGUUAUGGAAUGUAUAGAGUGGGUAAGUUGGAUGCAAGCAAUAUAAAAAUCUGCACAGCACCUUUCUUGCUCUCAGUUGUCUCACAAUUGAAUGGAAAGCAAGAUGCAUUCAGUGAAUCAUUACAAAACAUUGUGAUGCAUGUAUUAUGGUUUAUCACAGAAGAAAUUUUGGACCCUUUUGGAAAGAGGAGAAUUAAGAGCUGGGUGAUGAGGGAAGAAUUGUAGGGAAGAAAAUGGUGGAAGAGAUUUUGAAAUAAGGGAAGGGCAUUCCAGCAUGAACAACUACCACUUGCAAAGGCAAAUAUGAUUCUCUGCAGGUCCUCCAAAGAAGCAUGCAUGCAGUAGCAAAAAAAAAAAAAAAAAAAAAAAAAAAAAAAAUCUCAGAAUCUGGGGAUACAUAUCAUUGGGAAGAGAUACUGUUUAGUAGAGCAGAAACACUGUUGGACUGUUCUCCCAUCAUCUGUUUCUCAAAUGUGAGGCAGGGCUAGCAAAGCAUCCCACAUCAAGAGAGAAUUAGGAUGGGGGAAGAGGUAGAAGUAAGGCAGGAAGAAGGUGAAAGGCAAGAACCAGUCCGUGAGGUUGGACUAGUAGGUAGGACCAAUUCUUUCUUUUCUAAAUGCAUGCCGCUUUCUCUACAGAUCAGUGACUUCUAGUACUUCCCUACUUGCUUUUCUUUGACAUUUUUUUCUUUUUUUGCUACUGAAUGUUUCUUUGAUUAUUGCUGCCAACCUUGGGAAUGGAUUAAUGACACGCUUGCUUCUUAAACAGCUCUACAGAUACCACUUAGGAAGCUGAUGUUCAUGUUCUCAGACUGAGGAGGAGCAGUGUCCAAAAUCAACUACCUGGGAUGGUGUGUGCCAAUCCUCCUAGCAACAAACUCAGAUCUUUGGAGCUUGAUUGAUAACAUGUACAUUGCUCAAGAUACCCUGAGUUCUAAGUUCAGUGACACUGUUUCAGAGGACAAUGGGGUCAUAUAUUUUACAUUUAUUUAAUGUGAAUUUUGGAAGAAUUUGAUCAAAAUGCCAACUUUGGCUUUUUGAAAAAAAAUCACAAUAAAAGAUAAACAGUAA